rnacentral:rRNA from 1 species
AUGGCAAGAGCAAUUGCAACAAUAUUACUCAUGGCCAUCGUGCUUGCUGCCACUACACCUAGGACAAGCACCAUGGACAUCACAGAUAGGGACUUGGCGUCAGAGGAGUCCCUAUGGGCACUAUAUGAGCGCUGGUGCGAGCAUCACAAUGCGGGACGCAACCUCAGCGACAAGGCCCGGCGCUUCAAAGUGUUCAAGGAGAACGCUCGCAUGAUCCAUCAAUUCAACCAAGGUGACACACCCUACAAGAUGAGCCUCAACCUCUUUGGUGACAUGACCGAUGAGGAGGUUGACCACAUGUAUGGUAGCUGCUCCAACCUUAGGUCAGACUGUGGGAAGCGAUGCCAAGACUGGUUCACACACGGAGACGUUACCGUGCCUGACAACUUCCCAAUGCAUGUGGACUGGCGCAUGAGAGGCUACGGCCAACGGCCACCGGCGGUGACAAAUGUGAAGAUGCAAGGAGGGUGCGGGGCUUGUUGGGCCUUUGCAGUGACAGCAGCAGUGGAGGGCAUCAACUCCAUCAGGACUAAAAACCUGGUGUCAUUGUCUGCGCAACAGCUGAUAGACUGCGACAAGGGAAGUUUCGGCUGUCGUGGCGGCUACCUAUCAUCGGCCUUCAAGUACAUGAUCAAACAUCGCGGCAUCGCCACAGCUGCUAACUACCCAUACGUUGCCCAUGAGCAUGACUACUGCUUGAGGCCGAAGCGGAAACAUGUCGUCACCAUCAAUGGCUUUAAAGAGGUGCCGCCAAAUAAUGAGAUGGCGUUGCUGCAAGCGGUGGCGGCCCAACCUGUCAUUGUGGCUGUCGACCCAAAGGCCUUCCAGCGCUAUGGAGGAGGCGUCUUUGUGGGUCCGUGUGGGACGAAUCGAACCCAUACAAUGACGGUGGUCGGCUAUGGCACCACCCAUGAUCAUGACCCCAAGAGACGCAUGCAAUACUGGAUUAUAAAGAACUCGUGGGGGACAAAAUGGGGUGAAAACGGCUACAUCCGCAUGGUGCGCGGAGCCGGUCCCUCCAAGCAGGGCUUAUGUGGCAUCCUGAUGGAAGCUUCGUACCCAGUGAAAAAAUAG